CCCAGUGAUAUAUAUUUAACGGCCGCGGUACUCUGACCGUGCAAAGGUAGCAUAAUCAUUUGCCUUAUAAUUGAAGGCUAGUAUGAAUGGUUUGACGAAAACAAUACUGUCUCUCUCUAAUUUUAUAGAACUUGAUUUUUAGGUGAAGAAGCCUAAAUAAAAUUGAAAGACAAGAAGACCCUAUCGAGCUUAAAAAAAUUUUGUUAAAAUAAAAUGGCUAUAAAAGAACAUCUGUACCAAAAAAUUUUAGUUGGGGCGACUAAGGAACAUGCAAAGCUUCCACCACAGUAAUAAAGGCUUUUUAGCUAUGAUCCAAAAUCUUUGA
rnacentral:rRNA from 1 species